UACGUAGGGUGCGAGCGUUGUCCGGAAUUAUUGGGCGUAAAGAGCUUGUAGGCGGUUUGUCGCGUCUGCCGUGAAAAUUCGAGGCUCAACCUCGAACUUGCGGUGGGUACGGGCAGACUAGAGUGUGGUAGGGGAGACUGGAAUUCCUGGUGUAGCGGUGAAAUGCGCAGAUAUCAGGAGGAACACCGAUGGCGAAGGCAGCUCUCUGGGACGGUACUGACGCUGAGACGCGAAAGCGUGGGGAGCGAACAGG
rnacentral:rRNA from 1 species